rnacentral:rRNA from 1 species
CCUACGGGUGGCAGCAGUGGGGAAUAUUGCACAAUGGGCGCAAGCCUGAUGCAGCCAUGCCGCGUGUGUGAAGAAGGCCUUCGGGUUGUAAAGCACUUUCAGCGGGGAGGAAGGCGGUGAGGCUAAUAACCUCAUCGAUUGACGUUACCCGCAGAAGAAGCACCGGCUAACCCCGUGCCAGCAGCCGCGGUAAUACGGAGGGUGCAAGCGUUAAUCGGAAUUACUGGGCGUAAAGCGCACGCAGGCGGUCUGUCAAGUCGGAUGUGAAAUCCCCGGGCUCAACCUGGGAACUGCAUUCGAAACUGGCAGGCUAGAGUCUUGUAGAGGGGGGUAGAAUUCCAGGUGUAGCGGUGAAAUGCGUAGAGAUCUGGAGGAAUACCGGUGGCGAAGGCGGCCCCCUGGACAAAGACUGACGCUCAGGUGCGAAAGCGUGGGGAGCAAACAGGAUUAGAUACCCCUGUAGUC